UGUUGCUGAAUGCUCGAAGUAACAGUUGCACUUAAGGAUGAAUCCAUUCUUCAAUACACAGUGAGAAUGAAACCAGUCACAAAUUUCUCACAGAAGAGAGAUUUAAACAGAGACCAAUCUAUGACCUUUGAGCUAUUUAAGGCUCAUAAACAACUUAAAAUUCCUUCUCAAACCAGUUUGUUACACUAUGAUUAGAAGAAGCAAAGAUCUGGUAAUAUGGAAACUGUUGGAUAAUUCAAAUCCCUGGUUGCAGAAGCAGGUAAAGAAUGGCUGAUAAGUUUCAUCCACCUGGACUGUCUGAAGCUCUGCUACAAGUCCAUAUCAGCCCUAUCCAACAGGGGAUCAGUGGGAUUUUAUGAAGAUAAUGACAACUGCAGCUCAAAGAGCUACGUCUAUUGAGUUAUGGAGUAAAUAUUUUAAGAGAUUUUAGCCAGUUGAAAGUUUUCUAAAGUGACUCAUCAGGUCAGGCAAUUGGAUACAACGCAGACACACAUUCACAAGCUCCAAACCUUUCAAACAACCAUAAACAUAGGCAAAAGAGUCAACAAUAAAUCGUGAAUGAUUAACAGCUCACCCUGAUUGAAUAAGGUGCUCAGAGCAGUCCUGUUUCUAUAUCACCACUCAAUGACAGCAAAUGAGUUUGUUAGUAUGGAAAAUGUUCAGGAAGCAACUGAGAAUCUCAUUCAAGUACCUAUCUCAGGCAAACUGAGAUACCGCCUACUGCAAGAAGUCUGCUCUCCUGGUAUUCAUUGUCUGCACCUGGCACACAAGGAAUGCUGUUCCAGUAGAAAUUAGCCAAUGUCCUAAGGAUCCAGAGAUUGCCUGCGGGCAAAGCAUGCUUAUUAAAUGCUACUGAGAUUCCUCAAUGGGAACAUCCUCUGAGGUUCUUUGAAUAGUCAGUACUACCAAGCAGAACCAAAUUUAGAAAACUGAUCUUUUUUAAACUACUUCUGCUGAGUAUCUAUGGUACUUGGCAUGCAAAAAAAGCCUUUUAUCUAACCAAUUGAGGAAAAAUCCUAGCAGUGACUCCACGGCAUGGGGCAUUUGCAGAAGACAUUAUAGGAUUUUUCAUGGUGUCUGAGGAUGGAUAUAUUGCUAAAUUAUCCCACAGCCUAAAGAAGACAGAUGAUUUCUGCAGUGAUCACGCAUGGCUGACAAUCAGUUCAUUAAGACAUCCACUGAGCUGGCAGUUAUAAGCAAGUGUAACCAGAACCAGGCCAAGUCUUAUAACGAAACUGAUUCCAUGGUAUGGUGCACAUGGGGGAGGAGAACAUAUCUGCCCAGGUUAUCGACGGAACACCGUGGCAACACAUUAGCAAAGAAAGAUGCUUAUUACUGUAUGUGACAGGACCAGAAGAAUUUCUCACACACCAAUUGGAUAAUCUACAGUGUAUUGAAAUUAUAUGUUUACAAGAACAAAAAUUAUUGAAAUACAGUACUUCAUUUUGUUCCAAACAUAUAUGUGACAAAAUCUCUUUCUGAAUACUGGUGUGAUGCAUUGUUUCCCAGAGUAAACUUACAACCUGCUUUCCUAAUAGAUUUCCACCUGCAUUUAUAUAUCGAGUAAACAGAACUAUUCAAAAGUGGUAGGUCUCUCAGGGAAAGCAUGUGUGUACAUAUUUCCUUAAGGCCUAAAAAUGAAGCUAAGUCUAAGUCACCAUGAGUACAUGGUCUUUUCAUGGACUGGACGUUGGAUUGUGUCAUUGCAUUUAAUUUGUUACAGAGUUCACCUUACUCCAUUAAAUCCAGCACUAGAACUGAAAAUUUUCUGUUUUACAAGAGGGUGACAUUGGGCAGACAGAAUAAUGCGUACCUCAAGAUUUCAUAAUAAGAUGUUCCCCAUAAACAUUAUAACCUCAAGAACAGUAAAAGUUAUCUUGUUUCUUUUUAUGUGCCAUCCCUAUGGUAGUCAUUAAAACAUCCUUUGUGCUGCCACAGUAUUCAUAGGAGAGGCUAUUCUGAUAAUGGUAAGCUAAGUAAACUGAUCUCCUCCCAACAGAUAACGUGGAUACAGACAAGGACUUGAUUGUCAUGCCAUAUCAGACGACUCAUGCAUACAUUAAUGUUAAACCAUGAUAGGAAAUAGAGGAAAAGAAUAAUUACUUUACUCUGAAAAUCCACUUCUUCUUCAUAUAUAUUUAGAUGAAUACAUGAAAAAUGAGGGGUGAGCAACAGAAAAGGAAAAAUAUAUAUGUAUAUCUUCUAUAUCAGGAAAAUAUGAGUAGAAAUAAUGGCAAAUGUUACCAAAAUAUUACCUCUGUUGUGCAUCAGUUUUGAUCUAACUGAUAAUAAGAACAUUCAGGCUUUUGUCUCUCUUUGCAUCUGGAUGUUUAAAAGUAGAUUCUCAAUUUCUGAUUACUAGGUUUACCUUAUAGUUUCUGCAGAGUCACUUACUAACUUGAAGACACACCCUGAAACCUCUACUGCACAGAUGGAUUUCUGUACACUCAGAAAGCCCUUUUACUUCAAUAUCUCUCACUCAGAACACAACUGUCAACAUACAAGGAUAUAAGGGAAACUCAGAACACAACUGAAAAUUAUAUAUUAAAAAAUUAUACUGAAAAUUCAGGUUAAAGUGACCACAAAAUAGGCUUUUAUCACCCAGUUAUGCUGUUAAAACCAAAACAGUGGUAAAAAAAGAAUGCAUCCCACUGGUUACUCCUGCUUGGGUUGUGCUGGUCCUAAAAUGUGGGAGAUUAUUACAACAAUAGCAGCUGAUCUGACUGCAAAGCUAGCAAGAGUGUUUACAUAAAACUUGAGGCCACUGAAUUUAGAAACUUUUAAAAUGGGGCUUUUGAGACUAAAGGAUUAGCUUUCCUUAACGAGUAAAGAAGUCUCAGAAUGGAGUAUGAUUAUCACCUAUACUGCAGGAAAAAUUUCCUGUAAGAAAUUUAGUAGGUAGAUGUCUCAGAACAGUUAUCUGAGCCAUGACAAGAGACUUGAUUAGCAGGUUAUUCCACCUAGAAUGAGAUGAAAAGAUAAAAUACUGUGAAUCCCGGGAUAAUUGUUGGUAUUGGAAUCUGGGAAUGUAUCUGAUCUAAUAGAACCACUGGCUUUCAACUAGCAGUGGUACAAGACUUAAGUUAGCAAGAGUAAUUAUCAAACCUGUGAAUCAAGCACAGCUACAGUAGGAAGAGCUGCAAAUUUGGCUUCAGCAGGUAUGGAGAAGGAAAACAGACAAGGUAAUGAAGGUAAGAAAGAAUACAAGGAAAUCCCAGUCCUGUGGAUCUAAUAAAAGGUCUACACGCUGUGGAUAUUACAGAUUGUAAUUUUCAGAAAUACCAUCUUAAAUGAUCCACAGCCUUCAUUUAAAAUAACGAUAAAAACAACAGAAAAGGAAAAACAGUCCUCAGCGUGGGAUUAGCUCUUUAUGUAAAGAGAUGGUAAUGGUAACUGCAUAAUAUUCUUGGACAAUAUGAUAAAAACUUCCUUUAGUGGACAUCAAUGAAACUGCAGGAAGCAAACAUGGUAAGAUUUGAGAAAAAGAGGCAAAGAUUUGAGAAAAUGGGAUAGAAUACAUAAAUUCCUUGCUGACUCAUUUUGUCAAGUAAAUAAAAAAUCAUGAGGAAAGAAAACUACAAAAAAUAAUAGGUCCCUCUCAGCGAAGCCCUCAGACACCGUCUCUUCCUUUCAAUAACAAAGACUAGGGAGACUCUGCUGUCUACUUUCCCUGCUCUAGUGGUAAAAUUACAAUAUAACCAAUGGAAAUGGCCAGUAACAAUAUUAGUCCUGGGUGGUCAAGGGAAGAACUUUAACUACCACUAAUGCCAUGAUGUUAAUUGAUACAGUAGUAUCAAUAACCACUCUUCAACAAAUAUUUUUUCCAGCUAUAGCCCAAGAAAGAGGAAAAAUGACAAAACUUACCUGCAUUAUAUGCAUGAAAGGAUGUUCAAGUAUCUGUAUUAAGAUCUCUGCCUGCAAUUAAAUAGCUGCCAAGUUCAGGAGUCUCCUUCUCCUGUUCCUUCAGGAGUGGGAGGAUCCCUUUUAGGAACACCAGGGAAUUAUUGGCACAGCAUUGUUGAAACAAAAUGAAUUAGCCGCAGAUUUUGCUACGGAUGUUUGUGAAAUUGGGCCUGACCAGUGGGAGGUGAGGGUGGAGUGAUUCCUGCAAGUCAUUGAUGCUUUGUUAUUAGGAAUCCGGAGGAAAUAAAAACAGUGGAUAUUUGGGUAACAGAAUUUCCUCAAGUUUUGUGUCUGUAAUUUAAAAUGGGAAAAAAUAGAAAUUGCAUUUUAAUGGCAGAGGAAGGACUCCAAUCCACCAUCAACAAGUUUACUGAAAGCAAGCUCUUAGUACAGAGACCUAUUAUUUUAACAUCCUAUUUGUCCAGGGUUAAAAGCAAAGAAAGAAAGCUAAAAGUGAGAUUUUAACACUUAAAUAACAUAGCCAUCUCUCACGUUGUUUGUAUGCCUGUAACACUAAGCAGAAUAUUUGACGGGUAUUUUGUUACUGAUUUAACUAGAGCUUUCUUUGCAAUUCCACUAACAGACCAGAUCUAGUAACAACAAACAUUAAGCUGUGAGAGAAAGUAAUGUUCUUUUUCUAUGUUCCUCAAGACUUUCACAUCAAACGUAUCACAUAUGUAUGAAAUUACCAUCACAAUGUGUUAUGUCAUACCAUACAUGAAUGACAUGCCAGUACAUGGAAAAACUGAAAGUUUGGGAAUAUACUCAAGAAGUAGCCAGCAUUACUCAAAACAUAGGCUUCAAAGUUGAUCAUGACAAAACUCAAGUACAUAGGCUUCAAAGUUCAUCAUGACAAAACUCAGGUAUAAUCUAAAGUGAAAUAUUCAGUAAUAAUUUUAGGUGUAUUAGAAGAAGGAAUGGUGAUACUGGCAUCAGCAAAGGGUAGAAUUGAAUAUGAGAGUCCAUGCAUGUAAAAAUUGUAUUUGUUUCACUUUUGCAGCUGCUUACAUUUUUGUGGGAAUCAUAUUUGCAGAAAUUAGUAAGCCACUAAUCAAAUUAGUGAAGAAAUCUCACAAAACAGAAUGGAAAGAAAAAAAAGAAGUAAAACUGCACUAGUUCAAAUGCUAGCAUUUAGAUGCACAUUGCAGUAAGCAGAUUCAUGUUCAGCUGGCCACUACCAAUCUACACAGUGCUGUUUAAAGAACACAGAAAUAAAAUGGUUUUGCUUUGA